GCCGGGUGUGGUGGCUCAUGCCUGUAAUCCCAGCAGCUUGGGAGGCGGAGACAGAAGGAUCGCGAGUUCAAAGCCAGCCUCAGCAAAAGCGAGGUGAGACCCUGUCUCUA
rnacentral:sRNA from 1 species